GAAAUAACAAUACAGGACUUUACGGUUUUGUAAUUGGAAUGAGUUAAGUAUAAACCCCUUUACAAGUAUCAAUUGGAGGGCAAGUCUGGUGCCAGCAGCCGCGGUAAUUCCAGCUCCAAUAGCGUAUAUUAAAGUUGUUGCAGUUAAAAAGCUCGUAGUUGGAUUUCUGUUAAUACCUUAUAUAUAAUAUUUUUUUUUAAUAUUAUUANGGAAUUUAUUUUUUUUUUAAGACUGAAUUUUUAUUUUGAUAAUAUGAAAUUUUACUUUGAAAAAUUAGAGUGCUUAA
rnacentral:rRNA from 1 species